GUACUUACCACUUUUAUGAUAAAUUCGAUAUAAAAAACAUAAUAAUAUAAUAUGCGAUCAGCAAUAGUUGUUAAAAUUGUUUUCAAUGAUUAAAAAUUGUGCCGCGGAGAGCGUCGGCACUUUUCGCUAUUUAUUCUUUAAAUGUAAUCUGUAGUACAGUACAACACUAUAUUACUGUAUGCGCCUGCCGUAUAGUGUGUAGGACCGUCGAAAAUUUGAAUCAUAUGGAUACGAAUGACAUUAGGAUUGAGUGACAAUUUGAAUCUCAAGUAGUCGAGUGGAGUACUCGGAGCCGAUAGCCUCGCACCCGUACUAUCUACGUUAGUACGUUUUAAAGAUUCAAAAUUAUCAGGUGUUCUGUAUUCAUCGAAUGAGCCGAUUAGGAGAAUUAGGAUUAGCGGAAAGCGGAAUAUCGAAAAAUGGCGAAGACGACCGACGCCGACUAAAACCGUUCCGACGGAACGCUGUUCGGCUGUCAGUCUGACAACGCGCUCUAUCCGAAUGUUCCGCGAAUUGUAUUUCGUUAUGCUUUUGCAUUUCGUCUUUCCAUGCUUGAAUUAUAGCGAUUUCAUUUUCCCACCAAACGGCAAACCGCUCGACACUCGACUGCCCGAUGAUGACGUACGCAAACGUUCCUGCUCGAUCAGCAGCUACAAUACAUUGCACUUCACGCGCACGCCGUUCAAUCGGAAUUUUCAGCAGAUAAUUCAUAUACUCAUAUUUACCCUAGCGAUUUGGACCGAAAUUUUGGGCACCUGUCGAGCCAAAUAUAUCUAUAUUAAUAUAAAACGGCGAUCUUGGAUCGACGAUUUCACCGUGCACUAAUACAUCGAAAACGAUAAAUCUUUAUAUAGACGAAUAAUACAUUACAUACCUGCGGGCUUAGAGUAUAUGAAUUAUGAACUUAUAUAUUGUGCUAUUUGUGAAACAAAUUCAAUCAAAAAAUGCAGAUAAAGCUUCAGCGACUAUGACCAUGCAUUGACAGAAUUAAAUUACAUAUUAUGUUUACACUUGUGAUCUUAUAAGUUACUAGAUAUAUUGUAUAGCCAUUACUCAUAAAUAAAUAUUAAAUUUUCAUUUAAUUUUUGUCAACUCUUUAGGUACUUUAUAUGAUGUACUUAUUACAUAUCAAUUUAAUAUAAAAUGUAUAUUAUAUAAAUGUAUAACUGUAACUAUAUAUAACUAUUUAAGUAUAAUAAUCAUACCAAGCGUGUCCAGUUCAUUUGCACACAUGGGUUAAUUAUAUUCAAUUAAAAAAUAUAUACAUACAAUUAAUAUUAUACAUGCAAUUGAGGAUAAUGAUUACCUGUAUCUAUAUUAUAUUUAUUUUAUAUUUAUGAGUUAAUGUAUAAUUUCAACGAAUAUACUUUUUCAUACUAAUUUAAAAAGCAUGUGUUUUAUAAUACAUACAUACAGAACACAGAAGCCUAACCUAUUCGAUAAUAGUAUAAUAUAUUAUUAUAAACUGUAUAGUCGUUUUAGGUAGGUAUAUACCAUAUGCAGUAAAACUCCGAAACAUAAUAUUAAUGUAAUAAUAAUAUAUUACAAUGAUUAUGAUAAUAUGCCUGCUAUACAAACCCAUAUGUUUAAUUUAUCGCAAAUAUACGAAGUAAUUACAUAAUAAAGUAAAAAAGAAUCGUAUAUAAUAGGUAUCAUAUUAUUCAUACUCGGCAAAUGUUUACAUUUCUUUGAUUACCUAUAUAAAUUUAAAAUUAAUUUACUUCAAUAGAAAUAAACCAUUAAAUGUAUGGCUAAAUUUGGCUUGUAUAGCUAUACAGUUAUAGUUAUUGUUGUGCCAUUAUUUAUAAAAUAGUAAGUACUAUUACUAUAUAGCCUAUUGCCUAUAAUAUAUUAGCAGUUAACAAUACAGCAUUUCUAUUAUAAGAGAAGAUGUAACCAUGUAAUCAAACUGCUAACUGGCGUUAUGUAAUACUUGUCAGUUUUCAGAUCCACGGGGUGGUAGAUAAUGAAAUUGACAACUUAAACUCGACAAAUGUCAAUUAAAACUUUUCUCACUGCGCUCGAGAUUUAGAAUUUUUUCACUACAAUUUCAUAGAAUCCAAU